rnacentral:rRNA from 1 species
GAACAUGUGGCUUAUUCGACGCAACGCGAAGAACCUUACCAAGGCUUGACAUAUACCGGAAAGCAUCAAAGAUGGUGCCCCCCUUGUGGUCGGUAUACAGGUGGUGCAUGGCUGUCGUCAGCUCGUGUCGUGAGAUGUUGGGUUAAGUCCCGCAACGAGCGCAACCCUUGUUCUGUGUUGCCAGCAUGCCCUUCGGGGUGAUGGGGACUCACAGGAGACUGCCGGGGUCAACUCG